UGAUGCAGCAACGCCGCGUGAGGGACGACGGCUUCGGGUUGUAAACCUCUUUUAGCAGGGAAGAAGCGAAAGUGACGGUACCUGCAGAAAAAGCGCCGGCUAACUACGUGCCAGCAGCCGCGGUAAUACGUAGGGCGCAAGCGUUAUCCGGAAUUAUUGGGCGUAAAGAGCUCGUAGGCGGUUUGUCGCGUCUGCUGUGAAAUCCGGAGGCUCAACCUCCGGCCUGCAGUGGGUACGGGCAGACUAGAGUGCGGUAGGGGAGAUUGGAAUUCCUGGUGUAGCGGUGGAAUGCGCAGAUAUCAGGAGGAACACCGAUGGCGAAGGCAGAUCUCUGGGCCGUAACUGACGCUGAGGAGCGAAAGGGUGGGGAGCAAACAGGCUUAGAUACCCUGGUAGUCCACCCCGUAAACGUUGGGAACUAGUUGUGGGGUCCAUUCCACGGAUUCCGUGACGCAGCUAACGCAUUAAGUUCCCCGCC
rnacentral:rRNA from 1 species